GCGGGCGUGGCGGAAUUGGCAGACGCGCAGGAUUCAGGUUCCUGUCCUCGCAAGGGGGUGGAGGUUCGACUCCUCUCGCCCGCA
rnacentral:tRNA from 1 species